GUGUCCCCCCUCCCGGGCUCCCCACACCCCUCCAAGCAAUAACUGGAGCCGCCGGACGCGCCGAUGGCGGAGGACGACGGCGGAGGUAGGGCCCCAGCCGGGUGUCCCCUCUGUCCCCCUGUGGUGGCACUGUCGCCCCAAGAGAGGGGGACAGGGGGGGAAACCGGCCCCACUCUGAGGCCAGGCUGCGUUUCCAUGGUAACAGGACUAGGCCUGAGCUCUACUGCAAGGCCAGGCUGUGUUUCCAUGGUAACGGGACUAGGCCUGGCUCCUCACUGCAAGGGCAGGCUCUGUUUCCAUGGUAACAGGACUAGGCCUGAGCCGUACUGCGAGGCCAGGCUGCAUUUCCAUGGUAAUGGGAUUAGGCCUGAGCCGUACUGCGAGGCCAGGCUGUGUUUCCAUGGUAACGGGAGCAGGCCCGAGUUCUCACUGCGAGGCCAGGCUGCGUUUCCAUGGUAAUGGGAGUAGGCCUGAGCUCCUCACUGUAAGGGCAGGCUGAGUUUCCAUGGUAACAGGACUAGGCCUGAGCUGUACUGUGAAACCAGGCUGCGUUUCCAUGGUAACAAGAGCAGGCCUGAGUUCCUCACUGCAAGGCCAGGCCAUGUUUCCAUGGUAACAGGAGUAGGUCAAGCCCUGCUGUUAGGCCAGGCUGCGUAUCCAUGGUAACAGGAUCAGGCCUGAGCCUUCACUGCCAGGCCAGGCUUUGUUUCCAUGGUAACAGGAGCAGGCCUGAGCCUUCACUGCCAGGCCAGGCUUUGUUUCCAUGGUAACAGGAGCAGGCCCGAGCUGUACUGUGAGGCCAGGCUGUGUUUCCAUGGUAACAGGAGCAGGCCAAGUCCUCAUUGCAGGAUGAGGCUGUUUCCAUGGUAACAAGAUCAAGCCAGAGUCCUCACAACCAGGCCAGGCCGUGUUUCCAUGGUAACAGGAGUAGGUCAAGCCCUACUGCGAGGCCAGGCUGCGUUUCCAUGGUAACAGGAGCAGGCCUGAGCCCUCACUGCGAGGCCAGGCUGCGUUUCCAUGGUAAUGGGAGCAGGCCUGUGCCCUCACUGCGAUGCCAGGCUGCGUUUCCAUGGCAAUAGGACUAGGCCAGAGCCCUCAAAACAGGCCUUGCCCCCUUUGGGGGGGGCCGGGACCCCCCCAAACCUGUUCCCCCCCCCCCCGGGGGGGGGUCCCUGGGGGCGGCAGUUUGGGGGUGGGGCCCCCCUG
rnacentral:lncRNA from 1 species